UACAGAGGGUGCAAACGUUGUUCGGAAUUACUGGGCGUAAAGCGCGUGUAGGCGGCCCGGUAAGUCGGAUGUGAAAGCCCUGGGCUUAACCCAGGAAGUGCAUUCGAAACUCCCGGGCUUGAGUUCUGGAGAGGAAGGCGGAAUUCUCGGUGUAGAGGUGAAAUUCGUAGAUAUCGAGAGGAACACCGGUGGCGAAGGCGGCCUUCUGGACAGUGACUGACGCUGAGACGCGAAAGCGUGGGGAGCAAACAGG
rnacentral:rRNA from 1 species